AGUGAACGCUGGCGGCGUGCCUAAUACAUGCAAGUCGAACGGAGAUUAAGUAGCUUGCUAUUUAAUCUUAGUGGCGCACGGGUGAGUAAUAUAUAGCUAACUUGCCCAUUACUAAGGGACAACAGUUGGAAACGACUGCUAAUACCUUAUACUCCGUAUCUAUAUAAGUAGAUACGGGAAAGUUUUUCGGUAAUGGAUAGGGCUAUAUCGUAUCAGCUAGUUGGUAAGGUAAUGGCUUACCAAGGCUAUGACGCGUAACUGGUCUGAGAGGAUGAUCAGUCACACUGGAACUGAGACACGGUCCAGACUCCUACGGGAGGCAGCAGUAGGGAAUAUUGCUCAAUGGGGGAAACCCUGAAGCAGCAACGCCGCGUGGAGGAUGACACUUUUCGGAGCGUAAACUCCUUUUCUUGGGAAAGAAUUAUGACGGUACCCAAAGAAUAAGCACCGGCUAACUCCGUG
rnacentral:rRNA from 1 species